rnacentral:lncRNA from 1 species
AAAUAAUUAACCAUGUUUUUGCAUAUUUUGUACUAAAUAAUACUGUAAUUAUCACUAUUAAAAGGCCACUCGUCAUCUUCCCUGUACUGUAACUCGCCGUCCCCGUUCCGUUUAACAAUAAAAGCACUCAAAAGCUUAACCUUCACACUUCACUUUACACCUGAGAAAAGACCGCACCAAAAAGCCGCUAAACACGCACACAUUCAACUCCGCUCAUUCAGAGUGACAUAAAAAUCGUUUUGCAUUCCAAAUUAUUCAGAUUGUUGGGUUUGAAAAAUGGAGAAACAAAUUGUUGUGAUUAACUACGAGCUUAAAGCUUGUGGUAUAGUGUAGAACUGUCAAAAGGGUUUUCCCUGGGUUCCUUUUUUUUUUUUUUUUUUUUUUUCGCGAAGAAGGAUAAUUAUUUUUCCUUUCACUUUUUCUUCUCUUUUUUUCACCGAGGAAUGGGCUGCAAGAACACCAUAGUAGGGAACUUGGAUCCAGAGAGGAAAAGAAGUGGUGGAUUGAGAACUAAACAGGCAGGGCGUGGGUCUUGCAGGGGAAGUUAGGCUAUUUGAGUGAAAAGAAAAAGAAAAGGAAGGAUAAUGGUUUCCCUAUUGGAGGAGUAAUUAUUUUUUCCUCUCUAUUCUGAAUUGUAUCUUUCUAAAAUCAUCUUUAUUUAUCCAUACAUACAAGAAUAUUCUUAUAUACUGCUCCAUUUAGUAAUUGUUGCAAUGGGAUAUUUGUUGAAAGAGGCUUUGAAGAAUCUCUGUGGAGCCAACAAGUGGUCUUACGCUGUUUUCUGGAAGAUCGGUUGCCAAAACCCCAAGUGAGUUCAAUAAAAAUAAAAAACCUCAAUUUUACUUUUCACUUGAAAAUUAAAAUAAAAUAAUCCAGCACUUUUGCGUUGUGUGUGUGGGGUGUGGUGUGGUGUGUGUUGAUGAGGAAAAUGGAAGGCUGAGAAAGGGAAAAAAGGUAGUCUUGUUAUUAAUAUGAAUGUCAUUAUUUGUGUAUGCUCUUUUGGGAUUGCUUUUUGUCAAUUCGCAUGUAAUCUUUUUCUUUUUGUUCUUGGAAGUUUGUGCUGACCACUGUUAAUGGAGAGAAAAUGUAGGAAUAAAAGUAUGAAAUUCUGAUGGUACUUUCUAGAUCAGUUCCGGCUAGUCAAUGAAAUAAGUGCAAUCAAAGAUGUUCAAGCUUAGUUCCUCUCUAUGCGAAAUUUUCUAGUCGAGCAAAUUAGAGGUUAAUACUGUAUUAUCUCUAACCUAUCUGGUUAGUUAGAGUUAGCUUUGGGUUAAAAUUUCCAAGUUUGGAGGUAAUUAAGAUGUGAUUUGUUGUGCUAAAGAUUUGUUAGACAUCACUGUCUUGUUCUUCCAUUGUGAUCUAGUGACUUCCUUUUUCAAGUUUUGGAGUUUUGUGGGUGGUCCAUUUGCUUUGUCUUGAAGAAUCUUGGGGGACGGAAAAAGACACAGUAGAUUUGUUUUAGGUUAACAAAACUCUGUCUACUGUUAUAAUUUUCCUCUGUACUGAUUCAUUCACUUCUGAUAUGGAUAAUGCCUUUCUUGUUCUAAUCUGUGUGUUCCUACGUUUUUUUCUUCAGCAAUUUUCUCUCUUAGAUUUUUUUUUUUUCCUCGAACUAUUUCGCCAUUAACCAGUAGAACAUACAUAUGUGGAUCUUUUGGAGUAUAACAUUCUGUAAGAUCUAGCAUUUUUGUUGAUUACAACUGAAUUUUAAUUUGGCAGGCUUUUAAUCUGGGAAGAAUGUUUUUAUGAUCCUGUAUCACAACCCCAUCUUCUUUGCAUUUCCAAGAUUGAAGAUCCGGGAAUUGGUUUUGAAGGCCAUAAUGAUUGUGGGUUUACAGCUGGGGACCAAGCAGGGGAUAAAUUGCAUUUUCUUAUAAAUAAGAUGAUGAUGGACAAUCAUGUUAAUGUUGUAGGAGAAGAACGGUAUGACAAUCUAAGCUCUAAUAUUUAGACCAUGUUCAGCAGGCAGCGUUAGACAUGACUAGACAAUACAAAGGACAAGAUUUCUUUUUCUUUUGCUUUUCCAGUAAUGUCUAGUCCUGUCCAAUUCUCACUUCCAAACAUGUCAUUAGUGUUUCACUUGUUCUAGUUGAGACUGAGAAGGGUUUUUGCAUUGAACGCAUCUGUAAUUACAUUUUCGAAUUUGUCUGUCAGAUUAGCUGGAAGGGUUGCAUUUACGGGAAACCAUCAGUGGGUUCUCUCUGGGACUUGUACUAGAGAAGCCCAUCCACCAGAGGUAUAGUACAAGAUCCUUUUGUUAGUGCUUUAGGGAUAGGAUUCUUAGUGGUGAAGGUGCAUUUUUUGUUGAUGCUAAGUUGUGUACAUCUUCAUAUGUGCUUCUGUCGAGGAUAUAAUUUAAAUAAACUAAUUUGUCCAAAUUGUAGCAACUUGAACUUUUAGAUAAUAUGGUUCAACAUGGUAUUGUAGCCAGCAAAGGUACCAUAUUCUAAUUCUCAGUGCCACCAAUUUAUGAAAGUUGUGCACGUGAUAGGCUUUUGAUUGAUAAACUGAAUAUGUUGAUUUAUAAAAGCUGUGCAUAUGUUAGGCUUUUGAUUGGAAAACUAAAUCUGACCUGCAUUUGAAGGGACAUGUAUGAAUAUGUUGUGUUAUAAAAUUUCAUUAUUUGUUGUUCUUCUAGGUUCUACAAGAGCUUUGCCAACAAUUUUCAGCUGGCAUGCAGGUAUAAAGUUUCGUCUCUCUCUGGUGUGUUUGCUGUCCUGUAUUUUGUUAUUCAUCAAUCUUUUUGUUUUAUAUCAGACAGUUGCUGUUAUACCUGUUCUUCCUCAUGGCGUUGUUCAGCUAGGUUCAUUCUUUGCCGUAAGUUUUUCCUUUCCUUAACUUUUGGAGGCUAAAAUAAUCUUAAAUACUUGCAAAUACAUUGUGUUCACGAUGAAAAUCAUGAUGGUCAAGGUAUCUUUUGUUGGAAGUCGUCAACUUUCUGUGUUUCAAUCUAUUUCCCAAAUUUAGCUAUUAAAUUUUUGUAGUGAAUUCAGGAAAGAUAUUCUUUCACUUGAUUAAUGCUGUUGGAGUUCAAUGUAGUGCACUAGUGCGAAACUCUUAGGCUGCAAUUCUUAUUUCAGUAUUUGUGGAUCAAUGUCUUCAAUCUGUGAUGAGGAAAAGAAACGAGGUAUCCGCGUAAUGAUGUCAAUUCAGUAGACGUCCUACACCAAGCUCAACUGGCUGUUACGGGUCAUAGGAAGUCUGUGUUAUGAAUCAAGUCAUAUUUCCUUCUUGCGAGAGCAAUAACAUAUAGAAUGUAAUCAGAUUACAAGCGAAGCUAAUACACAGAUUUUUUAAUGAAAAUCGUUGGUCCACCCUCAAUGUGAGAGCUAUUCCCAUUUGCCUCUAUUGCUUUUACUGUAAUGGAGAAGAAUACAGGGUCUCACGCCUUUCACACUGAAAACUGCCCCCCCCCCCAACAAAGACAAAAUAAUAAUAAUAAAAUAAAAUAAAUAAAUACUAAUAUAUAUAGAAGUACAAUUGCAAUCUGAUAUGCCCAAUACAUCUCAGUAAUGAAAAUGUUCAGAGUUGAAAGGAUAAGUGUACAAUAUUAUUAGGCUUCACAGAGUGCAGUCUGAUACUCGGAAAAGUUUUUUGGUUUUCCAGUAGUUAUUCUAACAUUUUUUUUAUUUAUAAUUCUUGCAAUCUUGGUGCUGUAGCUGGUUCUCAAUGAGUUAAUGUAGAUUUUGUUGCUAUUCAGAUAGCGGAGAAUAUGAGAUUUGUAAAUGAUGUGAAGACUUUAGUUCUUCAGCUUAGACAUGAACCUGGUCUCUUGCUACCUGAUAAUUAUGCAGCAAAAGAACUUUCUCCAAAAAUAGGGGUACCUGUGUUUCUUGGGAAUUCUACUUCUGGAGACCUAUCUGGCGUAUCGAAUAUGACCAACUCUAUUCCAUUCAUUGCUGAGAGUUACAACUAUGUGGAAAACUCUGAUCAGACUACCGAGUUUGUUGGUGACACAUCUCAUUCUUUAGCAAGACAUAUCCAGGAUAAUUUGCAGUUUAAUGGUGCUACAUUUCAUACCUCUAGCUCGAGCCAAAGCCACGUUCAGCUUGAUGAUGAUCUCAAGGAAGCGAAGUUUGCUACGAGAAUGAAGACAAACUCUACUUUGGAAAAUGAAGUAGUGACAAAAGCUGAAGUUAUAUUGAAUCUGGAGAUGCUGAUGAACCAACAGGCAUAUCUGCACAUCCCAGGAUCUGCUUUGCAUCAACUAUCCUCCAGCAGUUCAUCUACUAUCGACAGUGGCAGCUCAAGGUGGGUGGAAAAGGGAAUGUCAAAUGCUGGUACUCAGUGCCAUUUUGGCAGCGCCAAUAUGUCAUCUGGCCUGUUGACGUCUGUGCCGAGAAUAAAUUCAGACCUGAUAUCUAGUUCUCAUGAAAAUCCUGUUGACCAUUUAACGUCCAAUCACUUGCUUGUAUAUGACUCAGGUAGCAGACAUUAUUGUACAGAUGACAGAAACGGGAAACGCGAGUUGAAUGUGUGCAAUGAAAGAAUGGAAAACAAUAUAAUUCAAGCUCGUGGUAUCCCCCUGUCCAAACAUGAUGAGCAUAAGAAUUCAGUUGAGUUUCUACCUGAUUUCGUUCUAGCUGACAGAAAGUAUGAACUUGAAGGUUGGAGUCAAUCUUUUAGAAAUACUGAAUAUCGAGAUGCAUGUAUAGGACCUCAACCAGGAGAUGAUUUGUUUGAUAUUUUGGGAAUUGAAUUUAAGAACAAACUAUUCAACAGUCACUGGAAUAAUAGUUUGAAAAAUGCAUCAUACUCGAACAUGGUUAAUCUGGAUAAAAAAAAUUCUCCAUCUGUAAAAGCUCAGGACACUGCUUCCGAAAUAUAUUCUCUUAACUGUGGAAACUCCAAUGGCAGUGAACAUCUGUUAGACGCUGUGGUCUCUGAGGUUCAUUCUUCUGCUAAGCAGCGCUCAGAUGAUAAUGUUUCUUGCAGGACAACAAUGACAAAUAACAGUAGCCACUGCAGACCUAAUGUUGAACUCCCCUACAGCCAGGCUCAGGUUCUUGAUCAAAUUAAGGAAGAGUUAUUUGGUGUUCCAGAAUAUCUGGCAGAAGCAGAAGCAAUGAGUUGUUCAUUUUUAUCUGGAUCUUCUAAGGAUUAUUCGAGCACCUAUUCCCUGAAUAGUUCCAUUUAUGGAUCACAAAUAAGUUCAUCAGUUGUAAAGGGUCAGGACAUCAAACAGAGUAGCUGUGCAUCUACAGGAUACUCUAAGAAGCCUGAUGAAAUGUGCAAAACAAAUCGCAAGAGGCUUAAACCAGGAGAAAAUCAUAGGCCAAGGCCGAAGGAUCGCCAGAUGAUCCAAGAUCGUGUAAAGGAAUUAAGGGAAAUUGUGCCAAAUGGGGCAAAGGUGACAUUUCUUGUCUUUGGCUCAAACUAUUUCCUUGUCUCUAUAGGCAGAUAAUUCUUAUAUCCUGUAGUAAUUCUAUUGAUUUGGUCAACAGUGUAGCAUUGAUGCUCUUCUCGAACGGACUAUCAAGCAUAUGCUUUUUUUGCAAAAUGUCACAAGGCAUGCAGACAAGCUGAAACAAACAGGAGAGCCAAAGGUGCGAGAUACCGACUUGUUUUUCUCGAGUGUUGGAUACUACUUUUUGACCUAUGUUAUGCAUUGAGCGAAUUGGACUUGAGAGAUGCUGUUUUUGUUCAGAGAUAUAAAGCAUGUCUGGCCUUACUGAAAAGAGAUAAUUUUUUUGCCAAACAUGUUGAGCUUUUUCGGAAGUUACUUUUUUGGGGAAUUUUUAGUUCUAAAACUUAAUUUUAUAAAAUUCUUAUUUUCUACAGAAGUACUUUCAUUUUUUUAGGCUUAGCCAAACAUUUUUAUUAUAAUCUACAUUAGCAGACAGUUUAUGUGAAUUUUAUGAAAAACAUAUUAAUAUGGAAAUUUAGAAUGCAAAAGUUGGCAAGAAGAGUAAUACAAUGUCCAAUGGACAUCUCAAUAGGCUUUACAUAGGAAAGUUGAGAAAUAAAUAUGAGAUUGUUCAUCUUCUUAAGCUUCAGAUUGUUAGCAAGGAUGGCGGUUUGCUCUCGAAAGAUAACUUUGAAGGAGGAGCAACUUGGGCAUAUGAAGUUGGUUCGCAGGCUAUGGUAUGCCCUAUCAUAGUUGAAGAUCUAAAUCAACCCCGUCAAAUGCUUGUGGAGGUAAUCACUGUCUUCUGUUACAUCUCAAGUCCACGUGAUAACUGUUACUGGCCAUUGUACACAGUGGCAGAUGUUUGUUGUUCUUUUCCUCACUGUUUUCCUUUGUGGCAGAUGCUUUGUGAAGAGAGAGGUUUGUUUUUAGAAAUUGCUGACGUAAUUCGAGGGUUGGGGUUAACCAUUUUGAAGGGGGUUAUGGAAACUCGGAAAGACAAUAUAUGGGCACACUUUGCUGUGGAGGUAAUAGUUAUGAAUUCGUUGGGCUUGAUCUCCUUUACGAUUUCUCCAAAGAUAGAUGUUGACUUCCAUGAAAGUCUUAUGAUUACCCCAAAACAUGAUUUUAUCCGACUUGUACUAUCUAAUGUUGAAGUUUUCAUUGACAAGUCGAAAUAUUCUCUUUUUCUGGCUUUUCUUUUUCUUUAUGGUGGUGGUUUUGGUUGGAAGGGUUCAAGGACGAGAGGCUUAGCAUUUGCUAUUAUACUUCUUUUAUCUAAUCUCAGGAAGUUAAAAACACUAGCAGUCAAUGUUAGCAAAGUUUCAUGUUGAUCAUUAAACAUUUUGUUUCAAGUUACUUGCUGAACUUAAAAAAGAAAAAGUCAGUUACAAUCUGGUGAUAAGGAUGUGACAAGGAUGGAGAUUUUUUACUUUCAAGCUUAAAUUUUAUACCUUUUUCCAGCAGGCUAACAGGGAUGUGACGAGGAUGGAGAUUUUCGUCUCACUGGUUCACCUCUUAGAGAAAAAUGCAAAAAAUGUCAUUCAACCAGCCAAAGGCAUUAGUAAGGAAAUACCAUGAUGGUUCAGCAAUUUCAUCAAGCUACCUCUGCUCCUGCAUUUCAUCAAACUGGAGCAACCAGUUUGACACCGAAAUUUAGGGCCGUGAUAUGUUAUGAGCGAGAUUCUACUCGCCAUGACUGACAUAUGUUCCCGAUCAGUCUUGUGAUCAGUUAACGGCAACUGUUGAUACUUCUUCCUUCACAAGUUGAAUGGAGGUUGGAUGAUACCUAGGACUGAGUUACAUUUAGAAUCUGAUGGAUUAGCAAAUGUAACAAGUAAUCAAAUGCCAUAGAAUUAUCAUCUUAGAGCAUGGCAAUUGAUUGGAGAAAGUAGUGUUCCAUUUUUUUCCCUGGUAUCCUGCUACUUCUAGCAGUGUUUCAUUUCAGCAAAUCUCCCAAAGUAAAUAAUUUUCACUUGAAAAAAUCUCUCCCAA